CCGACCUUAGCUCAGUUGGAAGAGCAUCAGACUGUAAAUGGUUGAAUUAUCUGGGUGUCGUGCGUUCGAUCCGCACAGGUCGGA